rnacentral:rRNA from 1 species
AUUGAACGCUGGCGGCAGGCCUAACACAUGCAAGUCGAACGAGUGGCGGACGGGUGCGUAAUGUCUGGGAAACUGCCCGAUGGAGGGGGAUAACUACUGGAAACGGUAGCUAAUACCGCAUACCAUCGGAUGUGCCCAGAUGGGAGUAGCUAGUUGGUGGGGUAACGGCUAACCUAGGCUACGAUCCCUAGCUGGUCUGAGAGGAUGACCAGCCACAAUGGAACUGAGACACGGUCCAGACUCCUACGGGAGGCAGCAGUGGGAAAUAUUGGACAAUGGGCGCAAGCCGGAUGCAGCCAUGCCGCGUGUAUGAAGAAGGCCUUCGGGUUGUAAAGUACUUUCGGCAGGGAGGCGUUACUCGCAGAAAAAGCGCCGGCUAACGCCGUGCCAGCAGCCGCGGUAAUUC